rnacentral:lncRNA from 1 species
GUUGAGUUCCUGAAUAUGCUCAUUACUGCGAGAAGCUAAGAUUUCAAUGAGACAAUUUUCAUCUGUGCCAAUGCCCUUUAUAGCUUCCUUGAUUUCAUAAGCAUCAAACAUGACGGGUGUCUUCAUCAUUGCUAAGAUUGUCUUCUCAAAGUUACCUGAUAGUUCAGACUUGAGAUCCUUGAUCAAAUCCUUUCCAUAAGCUGUUUUGAAGGAGAGGAUGAUCUGCUGUCGCUGCUUGUUUGAACGACUUCCAAGGCAAUCUAUAAUAGCCUGCUCAUCAGUUCCCAAUCCCUUCAUGGC